GUGUUUGCUUCACAAACACACGUACUAAAAUUGGAAUGAUACAGAGAUUAGCAUGGCCCGGAAACAAGGAUGACAUGCAAAUUCGUGAGGCGCUCCAUAUUUUU